GGAAUCUAACUCAAUACACCCCAGAGAUACUAACACAUCUAUGUUGAUUGCAUCACUAUUUACAAUAGCCAAAAUAUGUAAUCAGCUUAGAUGUUAGAUAACAGGACCAAAAUCAGCUUAUGGAGGAAAGAAUUCUAUUUCAGUUUAUGGUCUAGAGGACUAGAACCUGUGAUGGUGGAGGAGGCAUGAAAGCAGCUAGCCAGAGCAAGAAGCUGGACAAUCGCAUCCUCAACCACACACAGGGAGCAGAUGGUGCACUGGAAGCAAGGUGAUGAAGAUGUUGAUAAUGGAGAAGAACGUGUUUCACAUAUGGAUGCAAUUAAAGAUCUUACUGAAGAUUUGAAGGUCUUUGUGCCAAUAUACCACUUCUAAC
rnacentral:lncRNA from 1 species